CUCGUACAAGAUUUUACACUUGAGUUAUUUUUAUAAUUAAUCAAUUUUUCUUGUCAAUUUUGAAAAAAAAAAAAACCUUAAAUAUUUUUGUUUCAAAAAGGUCAACUGUUGAGUGUAUAUUUUGCUAGGUAACUACUCUUAAAUGCGGUGGAGUUUGUCUUGGAAUAGCAACUCAUCAUACUUUGACUGAUGGCACAACGGCCUUACAUUUCAUUAAUAGUUGGUCUGAAAUGGCAAGAGGCUUGCCCGAGAUUAGCAUGCCACCACUUAUUGACCGAACCCUUCUCCGAGCAAGAGUGCCACCAAUCCCUAGAUUUCAUCAUCUCGAAUAUGACCGACCUCCUUCCUUAUACACCUCUACAUCACUUGGCCCUAAUAACCAUAAACCCUUAACUGUAUCUAUUUUCAAGAUCACACAAAAUCAACUUAAUACCCUAAAAGCCAAGUCAUGGGAACAUGGAAACAAAACCAAUUGCAGCACCUUCACCAUUCUAGCUGCAUACAUAUGGCACUGUGAAACUAAAGCUUGGGGCCUCUCAUAUGAUCAACCAACCAAGUUACACAUGCCAACUAAUGGACGCCCCAGACUACAUCCUCCCCUCCCAUCAAUGUACUUGGGCAACGCAAUGUUUGUAGCUUCAUUAAUUGCUCUAUCUGGAAAUCUCCAAUCAGAACCGUUUGUAAAUACCCUAGAACGAGUUCAUGGAACAUUGCAAAGGAUGAAUAAUGAGUAUCUAAGAUCAGCUCUUGACUACCUAGAAACACUGCCAGAUAUAACAAUUGCCAGGAGAACACCGGACACUUACCAUUGCCCAAACCUAAGUAUCAACAAAUGGACACAACUGUCUUUAUAUGAUGCAUAUUUUGGAUGGGGUCGACCAAUAUACAUGGGUCCAACAAACGUUGUCCAUGAAGGAAAAAUAUGUAUACUACCAAGUCCAACCGAUGAUGGGAGCUUGUCAUUGGUAACAUGCCUACAGACUGCUCAUAUGAAACUCUUCGAGAAACAUCUAUACGAAGGCUUGAAGUCAUUUGACAAGAUCAAAGCUCGAUAUUAGUUGUUUGUUCUCUCUAUCAAUAUAUGUAUAAACCUAUAAAUCUUCUACUUCUGUUUCUUUAACUAAGACUUUUUGUUUGGAUCCUGUUUAUUUGAAAUUUACCAUCUAAGUUGGCCUGGCAAACAGGUGUUUUAUUGGUAAUUAUUGUACUAUACCUCAAUAAUAGUAAUAGCAUUGAUCGCAAAGAAAUAAUAAAUUAAAAUAAGAAUACACAGAUUUUACGUGGAAAAGUCUUAUUAGAAAAAAAAUCACAGGCAGAGUAAAAAUUUACUAAUGUUGAAAAGCAACAAUACAAGAAGUUUUUUUACUACACACGUUUUAACGGUUAAAUAACAUUUUUAUAAUCAAUGUCUAAUAGAAGAUCGCUCCCACAUAUCCCCCAAAUUUGCAAUUCUAUUUUAUUUCUUUAACAAACAAGUUGCACCUCGAAUUUUUCUGACUGGAUCAAACGGGGUUCAAAUCAAACAGCUCUGACAACAACUCAAAUUAUUUUUCCAUAACCAUAUUAAAACAAAUACCGAAUAAUUGAAAUAUAUUCAAAAUUUUAAAUUAAAUUAAGUUUGGAUCAAACUCACUGAUGAUAUAUGAUUUACCUAAAGUGAAAUAAGAACUCGAAAAUAUAAAAUUUAUGGGUAAAUUUUCGUUUUGGUCACUUAAUUAAAAAAUUAUAAUUUGGUUAUUAAACUAUUCAAAAGUUUUAUUUUAAGUCAUUGGAUUGUUAAAAUUUAUAUUAUACGACUUUCUCUAUUCGCAGUGCAUGCAUCAAUUGAAAGCUCUCUUUUUCCUUCAUUUUUACAGUUCAUUUUCUAUUUUUAUGUAAAAACUUUGGACGUCAUAAAUCUGUAGACCAAAAUUUAAACAUUUUUUGCUCUGAUUUCCAACAUCGACCAUCAAAUCAAUUUAGAUCUAAGGUAUAUUUUUCUACUCAUUAAUGGAAUAAUGGGUAUCGAUCCAUCGUAUCGAUUGUUGACACCAUUUUUUGGAUGAAAACGGAGUCGACUUGGGUUUGAAAAUGAAAACGAAAAACAAGGUGUCGCGACCGAUCCUUUUUGAUGAGGUGUGAUCGGGUCACCUCGUAAAAGUGGUUGUUUUUAAUAAACGGUUUAAUUUUAUUAAAACAACGAGUUUGGUCCACGAAAUUUAGAAAAACAGGUUCGGGAGUCGGUUACGCACGAGGAAGGAUUAGCACCCUCGAUACGCCCAAAAUUGGUACCCAGUUGAUUACUUAAUGUCUUAAUGUCGAAAAUUGAAAACUUUGAAGAAUUUUAAAAAAUACGAUCCUUGUAUUAAAACGUUGAAAAUUUUCAAGAAAAUGAGGAUAUUUCACGUUAUUCGAGAAAGAGAAUCAUAUCCAGUAAGUUAGGACACAAUGUCUCGAAUUUCCGAUACGCGAAUGAAAAAUGCUUAUUUAAAAGAUAUUUAGCUAUCUCGGAUUUAAAAAAGAGAUCACGACCAGUAAGUUAGAACACGAUCUUUUUUAUUCCCGAGAUCAUUUAAAACUUAAGUUUGAAAAGAUUCGUGUAAUAAAGUUUAAAAGAAUAUUCAAUUGUUUAAAUCAAAUGAAGAAAUUGCAACCCAAUACGUUAGAGCACAAUUUCUCAAAAUAUUAAACACUGAAUAUUGCAUUUAUUUCGAAAAAUCCUCGUCUCGAGGAACCACGUGUCAUGUCCAAUGCAUUAGGACGCAACGUAUUCAAUUCUUGAUAACGAACUUUUUAUCAUUUUUUUAAAAGAGUAAUCUCGAUUAUUUAAGUUCAACGAAGAAAGUCGGAACCCAAUACGUUAGGGCUCGAUUCUCUCGAAGAUCCAAAAUAACGAAUAUUACUUAUUUCUAAAAUUUCUUUUUCGAAAUCUAAAUAAAAAUGGGUGUAAUGGAUUAACGAUGAUAAUAAUGUAAGUAAAAUAAUAAUAUGAGCAAUAGCAUCAAAGAUAAGAUAAAAUAAAAAAGGACAAAUCAAUAGCAUACAGAAUAAAUAUAUAAGCAAAUAAAGUUAAAGCAUUCGUUUAAAAUAAUAAUGAAAAUGUAAAUAAAGAGAUAAACAAAAAAUGAACAAAACUAUAUAAAAAAUAAAAGAUAUAUAUAUUAUAUGCAUAAAUACAUUUGUACAAAAAAAAGGAUAUGUAAGUUGAAAUAUAGAAAAAUAUACGUAAGAAAAAAAUAGGUUUUUAAAACAUAAAAAGUAUGUAUAAAUAUGUUUAUAUGUAAUAAAAACACGUAUGUAUAUAUGAAAUACAACAAUAAUAAAGUAUAAAUAUGUACAUUUAUAUAAAUGGAAAAAGUAGAUAUGUAUAUGUAUAUAUAUAUUAUAAAGCAUAAAAAUAAGUAUUUAUAUAAAUAAAAAUUCGUAUGUAUAUACAUAUAUAUUACAUAAAGAUAAAAGGUAUAAGUAUGUAUAUUAUAAAAUAAAACCGUGCAAGUAUGUACAUAUAUAGAUGAAUUAUAAAGUAAGUAAAAUAUGAGUAUGUAUAUAACAAAGUCUAAAACGGUAUAAAUAGGUAGAUCAAAUGCAAUAAUAAUAAUAAUAAUAAUAAAUUAAAUAAUAAAAAGGGCUAAAUUGAAAACAAAACAAAAUAAGAGAGGAAAAAAAUCAAAAAUGAAAAGAAGUCAAGGAUUAAUCCGUGACGCGCUUGAAAGGAGAGGGACCGAGGCUGCAAAUAAACCGAAGCCCCCAAAACGCAGCGCAGCAGUGGACUAAAUUGAAACAAAAAUAAAACUUUGUGGCCAAAUUAAAAAUAAAAGAAAAUGCGAAAAGGGGCCAAAUUGCGACACACUUCAAAGUCAGAGGGACUGCGUGCGCAAAUAUCCCCUUUAGCGAAAACACGCUGAUCCUCCCCUCGGGUCGGAUCACCGCGCGGGUCAAGGGAGCCUUAAACGUCGCCGUUUUGAAAUUCCUAUAAAAGCUAAUUUUUUUCUGCUAUUUCAUUUCUUAAAAAAAAACAUAAGAAAAAACAAAAGGGUCUUCCCCUUUCUCUGCUAGGGUUCCAAACUUGGAACCCCGCCGCCGUCUGCCGCAUCUCCAUCGCAGCGCCACCAAGGACGGUGGCCGGAGUCGUGCGAGAAAAAGGGAUUUUUAACCCUCAUCGUGUGGCAUCCUUGAGAUCUCAGAUCUCUCAACCCGCGGGAAAGAGGGAAACCCACAACCCCUCUCGGACCCGAAUCGGCGACGGAGGAGAAGCCCUCCGACGGCGCAACCACGGUGGUUCCCGGUGAGUCCCCUUUCCCUUUUUAUUUUCUAUUUAAUGUACGAAAUAAAGAAAAUAAAAUAAAUAAAUAAAGAAAUGCGAAUCUGAUAUCAAGCCUUGAAUCUAUUUUUUUGAUUGUUUUAUUUAUAUGAAAAUGUUACAAAAGAAAAGAAAAAGCCCCCCGAUUCAGUGAUGAAGCCCCCUCUUACAAUCAAAAUCCCUAUAUUCUACUGCUAUUGUGUCUUUUCUUUUGUAGGUGGAGCAGGUGAGGGCGUCGGUGGCAAGUGGGCAUGGUGAUGGGACGUAUGCGGCGGCCAGCAGAGCUAGGGUGCAGAGGGCUGCAGCGCUAGGGUUUCUUUUCUGAAACCCUAGCUUGACUUUUGGGGAAUUGGGCUCCGAAUUUGGGCCUCGGGUUUGGGUUAGGCUAGUUGGGUUUAUUGUAUUGGGUUGUAACUGGAAUUGGAUCAUUUGGGUUUGGGUGGUUUGGGCUGAGUCUGUUGGGUUAUUGGGCUGAUGUUUGUUAGUUUAGGGUUAAUUGGGCCCAGGCAUAAAAAUUGGGCUUGUACAAUAAAUAUAUAUUUUUUAUUUUUAUUUUUUAAUUUUAAAAUACGUUAAAAAUAUUUUUUUUUAUUUUUAAAAUAUUUUUUUUGUGUUUAUUAAAAAUCGGGCUGGGCCCGGGCUUAUUAUUUUUUUCUCGGGCCGGGCCUGGGAAAAAUUUCAGGCCCAUAUUUCGGGCCGGGCCGGGCCCGGGCCUAAGAGUCGGGCCAAAUUUUUUCCCGGGCCCGGCCCGAACCCGGCCCGGCCCAUGGACAGGUCUAGUGACAGUACAAAUGGGUUUUAAAUGCCAACUACGAUGUCCAAUUAUUAGGACAAAAAUAGGUUUUUAAUUAAAUAAAUUAAAUUUAGACUGCCACGUAGGACCGUCAUAAGGGAGGUAAGAGAGCUUAAUGAUAGAGUGACCAAUUCGUAACAGAACGAUAACAUUAGUGACUAAAACGUAACAUUUCAAACUUAAGUGACUAAAAUGUAAUCUGAAGCAAAUAAAAGUGACUGUUUUAAAGUUUACCCUUAAUGUAAUUAUUGGCGGAUGAUCUGGCCGCACCGACAAACAGCAGAAAUUGAGUCAUUUUCGUAAUUAUUUACAAAAUUUGGGUUACUUUUGUAAAAAAACCAGAGAAGAGAACCUCGCCUCUUCUUAAGAUAGCCGGACACUUUCUAACUUUCCCUUCUUUCAGUUUUUCAUCAACAGGUUUGCCUCUUACCAGAACAUCAAUGGAUGUUAGUGUAAAGAGAUGGAGCAUGAUACGCCCUGCCCAAGAUACUCCUAAAGAAAGGCAAUGGAUUUCAAAUCUGGACAUGGUGAUAACAACAUACCAUGUCCCUUUGCUGUUUUUCUACAAACCAAAUGGCUCCUCUGAUUUCUUUAAGCCUCAAGUGCUACAGGAGGCUUUAAGCAAGACUCUUGUGCAAUUCUAUCCUAUGGCUGGGAGGUUGGGACAUGAUGAAAAUGGUAGGCUCGAGAUAUUAUGCAACGCAGAGGGUGUUCUGUGGAUAGAAGCUGAAACUACAUCGGCCAUGGAUGAUCUCGACGGUUUUACUCCCUGCUCAAAACUGAGGAAACUGGUUCCCACGGCUGAUUACUCUGGAGAUAUCAGUUCUUAUCCGCUUAUUAUGGCUCAGGUAAGUGAAUGAAGAACUAUUAUCUUAUUGUAGAUGAUAACUGUUACUUGCAGUAGGAGACCAAGGAUAAGCUCUGAGAAAACUCAAACAGUCUGAUACUGAAGUUAUAGCACAAGAAAAACUAAGCUAUCAGCUAAGAAGUUGAUAUAUGGCUUUUUUUUCUCAAAACUGACUUAAAAGAAUCGAUUAAUUAUGAAAAUUACCCAGGUAUAAUAUCUUAUAUGAGAAUGACCCGUUUUCUACCGUAAAAAUUGGUACCGCUAGACUAUUUAGCGGUACCGAUAUUUUUGUAAAAGUAUUACCAUCAACAAAUUAUCGAUAUAUACUUUCCAUUCAUCUUCACAAGAAAGUGCUAAUUACGGAGGUCCAUGGUGGUGGCUUAGUAGUGAUGAAGAUGAAACCAAAACCCUUUUCUCUUCAAUGAACCUCUGGUUUGACUCAUUUGUAAUAAUUAUUUUCGCUCGUUGGAUACACCCGCAUUUUAAAUGGAAAACUGUAAUAAUCCUCACCGAAGAAAAGCAAAGAACAAGAUUAAUCAAAGCGAACAAUAUUGUUACAAAUGAGUUAGGAGAGAGGUUCAUUGAAGAGAAAAGGGUUUCGAUUUCAUCUUCUUCACUGCUAAGCCACUGCCAUGGAACUCUUAGACCUUUCUCAUGAAGCUAAACGAUACCAUCAACAAAGUAUAUCCUUUUUACAAAACUAACAUCGGUGCCAACAAUGAGUCCGGCAACAUUCAAAAAAUAUAUUUUUUUAAAAAACAUGGGGUGGUGCUUCAAUGGAAAUGGUGGCACCAAAUUUUAUGAUAGAAAAUGGGUUAUUCUCGUACAAAAUUUUACACUUGAGUCAUUUUUAUAAUUAAUAAAAAUUUUUGGUCAAUUUUGAAAAAAAAAACUUAAUGUUUUUGUUUCGAAAAGGUCAAUUGUUGAGUGUAUAUUUUGCUAGGUAACUACUCUUAAAUGCGGUGGAGUUUGUCUUGGAAUAGCAACUCAUCAUACUUUGACUGAUGGCACAACGACCUUACAUUUCAUUAAUAGUUGGUCUGAAAUGGCAAGAGGCUUGCCCCAAAUUAGCAUGCCACCACUUAUUGACCGAACCCUUCUCCGAGCAAGAGUGCCACCAAUCCCUAGAUUUCAUCAUCUCGAAUAUGACCGACCUCCUUCCUUAUACACCUCUACGUCACUUGGCCCUAAUAACCAUAAACCCUCAACUGUAUCUGUUUUCAAGAUCACACAAAAUCAACUUAAUACCCUAAAAGCCAAGUCAUGGGAACAUGGAAACAAAACCAAUUACAGCACCUACACCAUUCUAGUUGCAUACAUAUGGCGCUGUGCAACUAAAGCUUGGGACCUCUCAUAUGAUCAGCCAACCAAGUUACACAUCCCAACUGAUGGACGCCCCAGACUACAUCCUCCCCUCCCAUCAACGUACUUGGGCAACGCAAUGUUUGCGGCUUCAUUAAUUGCUCUAUCUAGAAAUCUGCAAUCAGAACCGUUUGUAAAUACCCUAGAACGAGUUCAUGGAACAUUGCAAAGGAUGAAUAAUGAGUAUCUAAGAUCAGCUCUUGACUACCUAGAAACACUGCCAGAUAUAACAGUUGCCAGGAGAACACCGGACACUUACCAUUGCCCAAACCUAAGUAUCAACAAAUGGACACGACUGUCUUUAUAUGAUGCAGAUUUUGGAUGGGGUCGACCAAUAUACAUGGGUCCAGCAAACAUUGUCCAUGAAGGAAAAAUAUACAUACUACCAAGUCCAACCAAUGAUGGGAGCUUGUCAUUGGUAGCAUGCCUACAGACUGCUCAUAUGAAACUCUUCGAGAAACAUCUAUACGAAGGCUUGAAGUCAUUUGACAAGAUCAAAGCUCGAUAUUAGUUGUUUGUUCUCUCUAACAAUAUAUGUAUAAACCUAUAAAUCUUCUACUUCUGUUUCUUUAACUAAGACUUUUUGUUUGGAUCCUGUUUAUUUGAAAUUUACCAUCUAAGCUGGCUUGGCGAACAGGUCUUUUAUUGGUAAUUAUUGUACUAUACCUCGAUAAUAGUAGUAUCAUUGAUCGCAAAGAAAUAAUAAAGAAAAAUAAGAAUACACAGAUUUUACGUGGAAAAGUCUUAUUAGGAAAAAAAAUCACGAGCAGAGUAAAAAUUCACUAAUGUUGAAAAAUACUAAUACAAGAAGUUUUUUUGACUACACAUUUUAACGGUUAAAUAACAUUUUUAUAAUCAACGUUUAAUAGAAGAUCGCCCCCACAUAUCCCCCAAAUUUGCAAUUCUAUUUUAUUUCUUUAACAAACAAGUUGCACCUCGAAUUUUUCUGAUUGGAUCAAACGGGGUUCAGAUCAAACAGCUCUAACAACAACUCAAAUUAUUUGUCCAUAACCAUAUUAAAACAAAUACCGAAUAAUUGAAAUAUAUUCAAAAUUUUAAAUUAAAUUAAGUUUGGAUCAAACUCACUGAUGAUAUAUGAUUUACCUAAAGUGAAAUAAGAACUCGAAAAUACAAAAUUUAUGGGUAAAUUUUCAUUUUGGUCACUUAAUUAAAAAAUUAUAAUUUGGUUAUUAAACUAUUCAAAAGUUUUAUUUUAAGUCAUUGGAUUGUUAAAAUUGAUAUUAUAUGACUUUCUUUGUUCACAGUGCAUGCAUCAAUUGAAAGCUCUCUUUUUCCUUCAUUUCUACAGCUCAUUUUCUAUUUUUAUGUAACAACUUUGGACGUCACAAAUUUGCAGACCAAAAUUCAAACAUUUUUUGCUCUGAUUUCCAACAUGGACCAUCAAAUCAAUGUAGAUCUAAAUUAUAUUUUUAUACUCAUUAAUGGGUACUGAUCCACCAUAUCGAUUGUUGAAUCCUUACUUGGAGCUCGUUAGUGGAACUUAAAAAACAACUUAAUAUAUAGCCUAGUGACUUAAAUGAAAAUUUUUGAAUUUAGUGGCCAAACCAAAAACUUUCCUAUAAUUUAAUGACUAAUGGUAUAGUUUACGCACUUCCUCUUGGCCCAAUUGAAGUUUUUGGUACUCCCACACACUAGUAAAAAAGUUUUAAUAGUAGAAAUGUAUGAAAUUUUUAAUAGAAAGUACCAUUUUACUUUUUGAUCUAUAUACAGAGAUUAAUUUGCCAAUUUUUUAAAUAAAUGGGGUAAAAUGUAAUUUGACUUUUAAUAUAAAAAUCUCCAUGGUAUGUUUACCUUGAAAUUAUCAAUAAAAACUAAUAAAUAUAAAAUGAAACAGUUAAUAAUAUAUCAAAUAUCCACGAGGUGAUAGGUGAUUUUAAAAUUUAACAUUUACAACUUAAUGGGCUAGUGACAAGGCCAAGCAAACCAUUAGUGGAUUGGUAACAAAUUUGGUAAUAUUUCAACGAUCCAAUUGUUUAAUAUAUCGAUAUAACUGUAUUUGGUAUGCAUGAAAAUUUUCGAACCGAUCCGAUAUUUCUGACAUAUUGAUCCAAAAUAUUGUAUAUAUUGAACUAUUAAAAGUUUUUAUAUAAAAUAAAUAGUUAGUUUUUUUUUUAAUUUACAUCAAAUUUGACAUGCAUAAUAUGACAAUUGAAUCAUUAAAAUAUGGGUAAACUACACCCAUGGUCACUUUUGUUUACCUUAGGUUACAUUUCAGUCACUUAUGUUUGAAAUGUUACAUUUUAGUCACUUACGUUAUCGUGUUGUAAUAUUUUAGUCACUGAGCCGUUAAUUGCCGUUAAUGGUGUAAUGGUAAGCUGACGUGGCACGUUAAAUCAUCAUUUCAAACAAAAACUUUAGGUUAAAUUAUACAAUUGGUCACCAUAAUUUUUCGUUUUGAGCAAUUUAAUUCUUUUAUGUUCUUUUAACUUUCUUUUUUUUUUCUUUUUUUCUUUUCUCUUCUGCUUCACCCUAUGUUUUUCUACCUUCUUUAUUUCUUUUAACAUACCAGGAAGUCGAAUUGGUAGUGAAGAAAGAAGCAUGAUAUGGGUUUAUGGGUUUUGGUUAUAGGGUUUUGGUUAUAGGCAAAUGAUGACAGUCGACUUCCUACUUCUUUUUUCAUUGCCAAUUCGACUUCCUAAUAUGUUAAAAGAAAUGGGAAAGGUAUGAAAACAGAGGGAGAAACAAAAGAGAAUGAAAAAGAGAGAGGAAAGUUUAAAGAACAUAAAAAAAAUUAAAUUACUAAAAACGAAAAAAAUAUGGGGAUCAAUUGUAUAAUUUAACCUAAAAUUUUGUUUGAAAUGAUGAUUUAACGUGCCACGUCAACUUACCGUUACACCAUUAACGACGAUUAAUGGCUCAGUGACUAAAAUGUUACAACUUGAUAACGUAAAUGACUAAAACGUAACCUAAAGUAAACAAAAGUGACCAUGAGUGUAGUUUACCCUUAAAAUAUUAAUCGUAUAAAAAAAUAAAAUACAUAUUUUAAAUUUAAUAUAAAAAUGUUUAAAAAACACUAAAAUAAAUUAAUAAAAUUCUCAAUGACUUUUGGGUUUAAAUCACAAUUAUCGAAACAGGACAAAUCGAAAAUUAAUUAAUGUAUAAAUUUGGAAUAAGAGGAUUAAUUAUCUCACAAAUUGGUUAAAUCAACCAAUCAGAUCAAUUUUUUUCAUUUUUAAAUUUUUUAAUAAUUUAUUUAAUUAAAUUAAUCAAAUCAAUCAAAUCGGAAUUAGAAUCUAAUUCUAAACACUUUGCUUUGUUAUGUCAAAGCCAUAUGUUUUUUUUACACCUUAUUUAUUCCGCAAAUUAUUGUCCGCACAUGUCAACUCUUUAUCAUCUUUUAAUGACGUGUAUGGUAUAGAUAGCCUAUCUGCAUUUUUUUUUAUUUGCCAAAUUCUUUUAUUAUUCCUUGUAUUAUAAUUAGUUUGUGAAUUUAAUCUCUAUAUUAAAAUAAAAUGUCAAUUUUAGUCCUUAUACUUUUUAGCAUUUAAAAUUUUAAUCCUCCACAAAGAGUAGUAAUUAAAUAUGUUUGUUAAUUUAUGUCGUUAAUCUUUUACACAGUAUAAAGUUAUUCCACGUUCUCUAAUUUGAUCAUUCAUAAUCCUUAUAUUUUUUGAAUUUUUAAAUUUUAACAAGCUGAUAUGAUAUUACAUAUAUGAUAAUAUUUUUGACGUAUAAGAUUUUGAAAAUAAUAAAACUACUUAAUGAAUUUAAUGGUUAUCGUUUAUAUCAAGAUUGAAAUUUCAAAAUUAGAAAAAUAUACGGACUAAAAUGAUUAAAUUAAAGUACAUAGACUAAAUUUAUAACUUGUCUAUUGCACAAGUACUAAUAGCAAGAUUUAACCUAUUUUUACAUUUAAAUAUGUAAAAGUAUCACCCAUCCACUGCCUUCCAAGAGAGAAGAUAAGCGUUUUUUUAGCAAUAAAAGAAAUAAUAAUUACCUGAUAAAUUAUUUUAUGGACAUUUUUCACGAUAUCUUCCAUGAUCCCGUCCUAUUAGAAGAUGACACAUCAUCUUUUUUUGACACAUCAUAUGUACAUUUAGACUAAACUCCCAAAUGAAAGAUGAAGUGUCUUGUUUUAAUUGGGAGGAACUAUGGAUGAUGGGGUGGAAAAUGUCUAUAAAAUAAUUUCUCAUUAUUACCUUGUCUUCGAACACAAAAACACAAGCAUUAGCAUACAGAUUUUGCCCAUCCGCUACCUCCCAAUAGACAAGAUAGGUUUUUUUUUAAUUAACUCAAUUUUUUUGAUUAAUUACGAAAAUAAUCAACUUAAAAAUUACAUACGUAAAUGAUUUGAUUUUUACAGUGUUUGUCGAUGCUUCCAGACACAUCGGCGGCACAAGUCUCAUCAUCGACCAAUAAUUGUAUUAUUUUAAAGAUUUUCAAUUCAUUCCCUAACAUAUUUAAAUUUAUAUAAAUUGAGAUAAUUUUUUGAAGGAUAUAUUUGGGUAAUUUAAAUAAGACUUUUAACUUUAUUGUUUCUAAAAAAAUAAAAAUAAUUUAUUUUUGUUAUUCUUAUAUUUUUAAGGGCUAUUUAAAUAUAAUUUUAAAAAUAUAUAUACUUAACACGCAAAUAAAUAAAAAAUUAACAAGCAUCAAAUUUGGUGCCGACAUGGUGCACUAAAAAGUUAUUAUUUUCUGGGUAAAUUACAGUAAUAGUCACUUUUAUUUACCUCAUUAUAUUUUAGUUAUUUAUGUUUGAAAUAUUACAUUUUAGUCACUUACGUUAUCAUUUUGUUAUUAAGUGGUCACUCCACCGUUAAACUUCGUUACCUCUCUAACGGUAGUCCUACGCGACAGUACAAAUGGGUUUUAAAUACCAACUACGAUGUUCAAUUGUUGGGACGAAAAUAGGUUUUUAAUUAAAUAAAUUUAAUUUAGACUGCCACGUAAGACCAUCAUUAGGGAGGUAAGAGAGCUUAAUGAUAGAGUAACCAAUUCGUAAUAAAAUGAUAACAUAAGUGACUAAAAUGUAAUAUUUUAAACUUAAGUGACUAAAAUAUAAUCUGAAGCAAAUAAAAGUGACUGAUUUAUAGUUUACCCUUAAUGUAAUUAUUGGCGGAUGAUCUGGCCGCACCGACAAACAGUAGAAAUUGAGUCAUUUUCGUAAUUAUUCACAAAAUUUGGGUUACUUUUAUAAAAACCCGAAAAGAGAACCUCGCCUUUGCUUAAGAUAGACGAGCACUUUCUGACCUUCCCUUCUGUUGGGUUUUCAUCAACAGGUUUGCCUCUUAAUUACCAGAACAUCAAUGGAUGUUAGUGUAAAGAGAUGGAGCAUGAUACGCCCUGCUCAAGAUACUCCUAAAGAAAGGCAAUGGAUUUCAAAUCUGGACGUGGUGAGGCCAACAUUCCAUGUCCCUUUGCUGUUUUUCUACAAACCAAAUGGCUCCUCUGACUUCUUCAAGCGUCAAGUGCUACAGGAGGCUUUAAGCAAGACUCUUGUGCAAUUCUAUCCUAUGGCUGGGAGGUUGGGACGUGAUGAAAAUGGUAGGCUCGAGAUAUUAUGCAACGCAGACGGUGUUCUGUGGAUAGAAGCUGAAACUACAUCGGCCAUGGAUGAUCUCGACGGUUUUACUCCCUGCUCAAAACUGAGGAAACUGGUUCCCACGGCUGAUUACUCUGGAGAUAUCAGUUCUUAUCCGCUUAUUAUGGCUCAGGUAAGUGAAUGAAGAACUAUUAUCUUAUUGUAGAUGAUAACUGUUACUUGCAGUAGGAGACCAAGGAUAGGUUCUGAGAAAACUCAAACAGCCUGAUACUGAAGUUAAAGCACAAGAAAAACUAAGCUAUCAGCUAAGAAGUUCAUAUAUACACGAGAAUGACCCGUUCUCUACCGUAAAAGUCGGUGCCGCUAGACUAAUUAGUGACACCAAUAUUUUUGUAAAAGUAUUACCAUCAACAAAGUAUCGAUACUUUCCGUUCAUCUUCACAAGAAAGUGCUAAUUAUGGAGGUCCACGGUGGUGGCUUAGUAGUGAAGAAGAUGAAACCAAAACCCUUUUCUCUUUAAUGGAUCUCUGGUUUGACUCAUUUGUAAUAAUCAUUUUCGUUCGUCGAAUACGACCGCAUUUUAAAUGGAAAACUGUAAUAAUGAUCCUCACUGAAGAAAAGCAAAGAACAAGAUUAAUCAAAGCGAACAAGAUUAUUACAAAUAGACCUGUACAUAGGCCGGGCCGGGUCGGGUUCGGGCUAGGCUCACAAAAAUUUCAGCCCGUUUACUAGGCCCGGGCCAGGCCCGGCCCGAAAUAUAGACAUGAGAUUUUGCCUAGGCCCGGCCCGAAGAAAAAAUAUGGGGCCCGAGCCCGGCCCGUUUUUAAUUAAAAUUAAAAUUAUUUUUUUAAUAAAAUUAAAAUUAAUUGCUAUUAAAAUUAAUUGUUAGUAAAAUUAUCAAAUUAUUAAUUGUUAAUUGUAUUAAUUGUUGUAAUAAAAUCUAACAUUUGAUUAGUAAAUUUAUCAAAUUAUUAAUUGUAUUAAUUGUUGUAACAAAAUCUAACAUUUGAUUAGUAAAACAAACUUGAUGUUUUAUUAUUAUUAUUUUGUAACACUAGUCAAGGAAAUGAAAGUAAAUAAACUUAAAAUAAAAAACUAUUACAUUUUAAAAAUAAAAAAUAUAUAUUUAAUAUUUUUCGGGCCGGGCCGGGCCGAGCCCGGGCCAAAAAAUCUUGCCCGAGGCCUGGCCCAUUUUUUAAACGAGCCUAAAAUUUUGCCCAAUCCCAUAUUUCGGGCAUAUAUUUUACCCAAACCCUCCCAUAUUUUGGGCGGGCCGUCGGGCCGGGCCGGGCCGCCCGGCCCAUGGACAGGUCUAAUUACAAAUGAGCCGGGCGAGAGGUUAAUUGAAGAGAAAAUGGUUUCAAUUUCAUCUUCUUAACUGCUAAGCCACCACCAUGGAACCCUUAGCACUUUUUCGUGAAGCUAAAUGAUACCAUCAACAAAGUAUUGAUCCUUUUUACAAAACUGGCAUUGGUGCCACCAAUGAGUCCGGCGACAUUCAAAACAAAUAUAUUUUUAAAAAACAUGGGGUGGUGCCUUCAAUGGGAAUGAUGGCACCAAAUUUUAUGAUAGAAAAUGGGUUAUUCUUGUACAAGAUUUUACACUUAGUCAUUUUUUAUAAUUAAUCAAUCUUUUUUGGUCAAUUUAAAAAAAAAACCUUAAUAUUUUUGUUUCAAAAAGGUCAAUUAUUGAGUGUAUAUUUUGCUAGGUAACUACUCUUAAAUGCGGUGGAGUCUGUCUUGGAAUAGCUACUCAUUGUACUUUGGCUGAUGGCACAACGACCUUUCAUUUCAUUAAUAGUUGGUCUGAAAUGGCAAGAGGCCUGCCCCAAAUUAGCAUGCCACCACUUAUUAACCGAACCCUUCUCCAAGCAAGAGUGCCACCAAUCCCUAAAUUUCAUCAUCUCGAAUGUGACCUACCUCCUUCUUUAAACACCUCUACGUCACUUGGCCCUAAUAACCAUAAACCCUCAACUAUAUCUAUUUUCAAGAUCACACAAAAUCAACUUAAUACCCUAAAAGCCAAGUCAUGGGAACAUGGAAACAAAACCAAUUACAGCAC
rnacentral:lncRNA from 1 species